AGAGUUUGAUCCUGGCUCAGAUUGAACGCUGGCGGCAUGCCUAACACAUGCAAGUCGAACGGUAACGACGGGAGCUUGCUCCCGGGCGACGAGUGGCGGACGGGUGAGUAAUACUUAGGAAUCUGCCCAGUAGUGGGGGACAACUCGAGGAAACUCGAGCUAAUACCGCAUACGCCCUACGGGGGAAAGCGGAGGAUCUUUCGGGACUUCGCGCUAUUGGAUGAGCCUAAGUCGGAUUAGCUUGUUGGUGGGGUAAAGGCCUACCAAGGCAACGAUCUGUAGCUGGUCUGAGAGGACGAUCAGCCACACUGGGACUGAGACACGGCCCAGACUCCUACGGGAGGCAGCAGUGGGGAAUAUUGGACAAUGGGGGCAACCCUGAUCCAGCAAUGCCGCGUGUGUGAAGAAGGCCUGCGGGUUGUAAAGCACUUUCAGUAGAGAAGAAAUGCCCAUGGUUAAUACCCGUGGUCUUGACGUAACCUACAGAAGAAGCACCGCUAACU
rnacentral:rRNA from 1 species